UGGGNGGGCACAGCAGGUGCAGCUAACCCUCU
rnacentral:piRNA from 1 species